UGGCCAUUAAAGGACAAACAUAAGGAAAUACGUAAAUUGUUCCAUAAAUUGCAGAACAUUUUUAUUUUUUUGUUAAAUGUUGAAUUACAUUUGUUUUGUAAAUUAAAUAGAAAAGUCACAUCAAGAUAGAGAAGACAUAACACAUGUUAGUGAUGGAUGAUGUAAUGAUUUGAUUUGCGAGUGAUAGAUGGUGGAAUGCUUAAUAUAGACUAGAAACUAAAGGCAGAAAUAUUUACAGGUAUGACUGAACACCACUGAAGAAAUGGAAAUCUUUGGCAUUACUGGAAGCAUUUCUCAAAGGCAAAUAGGCUCUGAUGUCAUGGAAGGUGAUUCUGCUCGAGCUGAAAUGAGUACUGCCUGUGAUAUCAAGAAUUCAGAAAAGAUGACAACUACAAACCCUGGUCUCCUGCAUUCCUGUCUUUUCCUUUCCUCGGACAUCUUGGUGAAAGUGAGUUUUUAAGUGGUACUUAUCCAAGCUUUACUUUCAUUGU
rnacentral:lncRNA from 1 species